rnacentral:rRNA from 1 species
CCCUUAGAUGUCCUGGGCUGCACGCGCGCUACACUGAUGUGUCCAGUAAGCACCUAACCUCUUCCGAAAGGAACGGGUAACCUUUGCAAAGCACAUCGUGAUGGGGAUAGAUUAUUGCAAUUAUUAGUCUUGAACGAGGAAUUCCUAGUAAGCACAAGUCAUCAGCUUGUGUUGAUUACGUCCCUGCCCUUUGUACACACCGCCCGUCGCUCCUACCGAUUGAGUGAUCCGGUGAGGCUCUGGGACCUGGACGGAAAGAGCGUUUCACUUGUUCUGUUUGGGAAACUUGGUCGAACCUUAUCAUUUAGAGGAAGGAGAAGUCGUAACA